rnacentral:rRNA from 1 species
UCGGGAAUUUUGGGCAAUGGGGGAAACCCUGACCCAGCAACGCCGCGUGAAGGAUGAAGUAUUUCGGUAUGUAAACUUCGAAAGAAUAGGAAGAAUAAAUGACGGUACUAUUUAUAAGGUCCGGCUAACUACGUGCCAGCAGCCGCGGUAAUACGUAGGGACCAAGCGUUGUUCGGAUUUACUGGGCGUAAAGGGCGCGUAGGCGGCAUGACAAGUCACUUGUGAAAUCUCUGGGCUUAACCCAGAACGGCCAAGUGAUACUGUCGCGCUAGAGUGCAGAAGGGGCAAUCGGAAUUCUUGGUGUAGCGGUGAAAUGCGUAGAUAUCAAGAGGGACACCUGAGGUGAAGACGGGUUGCUGGGCUGACACUGACGCUGAGGCGCGAAAGCCAGGGGAGCAAACGGGAUUAGAUACCCGGGUAGUCCCUGAGCGGGCUGGCAAGGCGCAU